rfam:Fusarium graminearum chromosome 1, complete genome
GUCGACAAUACUUCAGAGAAUCAUUUCUAUAGUAUUCGACCUUCUCUUGGUUCCCUAAAAGAGCCACAGAUCCCACCCUGGUUGAUGAGUGUAUAUCCUCGACACCCUAGAGUGAAUACCUUUUGGUCCUCUCGAUCUGUCCGCAAGGAUGGCGGUGGUUUGCCCUUGGGCGGCUGCUGUAUAGAGAGUUUGUCUUUUCCUCUUGAUGAUCUCGACCCUGAUUGCGGUCUUGCCUUCGGGCGCGCGGUCGGGGUGGGUGUUGAUGGACGUCUGACAGGC